UACGGAGGAUGCGAGCGUUAUCCGGAUUUAUUGGGUUUAAAGGGUGCGUAGGCGGGCUGCUAAGUCAGCGGUAAAAGCCCGGGGCUCAACCCCGGCGAGCCGUUGAAACUGGCUGUCUUGAGAUGUCGAGAGGUAUGCGGAAUGCGCAGUGUAGCGGUGAAAUGCUUAGAUAUUGCGCAGAACUCCGAUUGCGAAGGCAGCAUACCGGCGGCGAUCUGACGCUGAGGCACGAAAGCGUGGGUAUCGAACAGG
rnacentral:rRNA from 1 species